rnacentral:rRNA from 1 species
UGCAUCUAGAGGGCACCAAAAACGUUCAAAGGAGUUUUUAUGUUUUGUGACAUCAGACUUAACUUUCACCGUGUACGCGCGUGCUUGACGAUCGUACUGGCNAGUACCGCAACGUUAGGCAUGCCAAACCAAGCGUUGGCGGCUUAUGAUUUUUCUAAGCUCGGCGCCGCGAUUGAAACAUUGUCGCCAGAGACCGUCAGUGAUUGGGAAAAGAAGGCCAGGGCUGGCGAUGCCAUGGCUCAGAACAUCAUGGGUCUUGCGUACAAAUGCGGUAUGGGCGUAAAGCAAAACCACGCGGCAUCGAUCCAGUGGUUCCGCAGGGCGGCCGAGCAGGGUGAAGCCGAUGCACAGUUCAACCUCGGGCGCCUCUACGGAAGUGAAGUCGACGGUAUGUAUAAGAAUGGGCGUGCGGCUCCUGCCCCCGAUGCAGAGGCUUUCAAGUGGUACCGCCUCGCUGCCGAGCAGGGACACACGCAGGCUCAAGUCAUGCUGGCCCAGCUGUUUGCAAAGGGUCUUACCGACAUCACGCCCGACCAGGUGCAUGCAUACCAGUGGAUGAAUCUGGCCGCGGCGUCGGGAGAACCGACAGCAGCAAAAGUCUUUGCAAAAUAUGCAGCUCAAAUGAAGCCCGGGACAGUUACAGCAAGCCCAUCUGCUGGCCUAGGAAUGCCCACGCCGGCAAGGCAACAGAGAUCUUCAAUCUCUACGGAAUUCCCGGCCACCUGCCGGUCGACCCCAUGCUAUAGCUCCAAACCCGUCCGACGUAUAGCUUAUUAUACUUAAGUGUCA